UACAGAGGGUGCGAGCGUUAAUCGGAAUUACUGGGCGUAAAGCGCGCGUAGGCGGCUUUGCAAGUCGGGUGUGAAAUCCCCAGGCUUAACCUGGGAACUGCAUUCGAGACUGCAUUGCUAGAGUAUGGGAGAGGGAAGUGGAAUUUCCGGUGUAGCGGUAAAAUGCGUAGAUAUCGGAAGGAACAUCAGUGGCGAAGGCGACUUCCUGGACCAAUACUGACGCUCAUGUGCGAAAGCGUGGGGAGCAAACAGG
rnacentral:rRNA from 1 species